AUUGAACGCUGGCGGCAGGCCUAACACAUGCAAGUCGAACGAGUGGCGGACGGGGAGUAAUGACUGGGAAACUGCCCGAUGGAGGGGGAUAACUACCGGAAACGGUAGCUAAUACCGACUAACAUCGGAAGUGACCAGAUGGGGUUAGCUAGUAGGUGGGGGAAAGGCUCACCUAGGCGACGAUCCCUUGCUGGUCUGAGAGGAUGACCAGCCACCAUGGAACUGAUACACGUUCCAGACUACUACGGUAGGCAGCAGUGGGGAAUAUUGCACAAUGGGCGCAAGCCUGAUGCAGCCAUGCCGCGUGUAUGAAGAAGGCCUUCGGGUUGUAAAGUACUUUCAGCGAGGAGGCGUUACCGACAGAAGAAGCACCGGCUAACUCCGUGCCAGCAGCCGCGGUAAUUC
rnacentral:rRNA from 1 species